AAUCUAUCACCUAACCUUCAAUCCUCUGCAUGUCAGCCACUAAUUUUAAAGAAAGAAACAAGACCUCUAAGUUAACCCUAAUAUUGAGACAUUGUAGAAAAAAAGGAAGAAAAAAAUAUAUUAUCUUUCUCUAAUUCUCAGGCUCCUAAACUAUAGAAAACUUAACCACGCUGAGGUUAAUAGCUGAAUUAAAUACAUUUUCGAUAAAAUAAUAAAUUUA
rnacentral:misc_RNA from 1 species